GACUUCGGCUGCGUAGGUGACCUGCGGAAGGAUCAUUA
rnacentral:rRNA from 1 species